rnacentral:rRNA from 1 species
AGUGAACGCUGGCGGUAGGCCUAACACGUGCAAGUCGAACGGCAGCACAGUAAGAGCUUGCUCUUACGGGUGGCGAGUGGCGGACGGGUGAGGAAUACAUCGGAAUCUACUUUUUCGUGGGGGAUAACGUAGGGAAACUUACGCUAAUACCGCAUACGACCUACGGGUGAAAGCAGGGGAUCUUCGGACCUUGCGCGAUUGAAUGAGCCGCUGUCGGAUUAGCUAGUUGGCGGGGUAAAGGCCCACCAAGGCGACGAUCCGUAGCUGGUCUGAGAGGAUGAUCAGCCACAUUGGAACUGAGACACGGUCCAGACUCCUACGGGAGGCAGCAGUGGGGAAUAUUGGACAAUGGGCGCAAGCCUGAUCCAGCCAUACCGCGUGGGUGAAGAAGGCCUUCGGGGUGUAAAGCCCUUUUGUUGGGAAAGAAAAGCAGCAGCUUAAUACCCCGCUGUUCUGACGGUACCCAAAGAAUAAGCACCGGCUAACUUCGUG